CCCCUGCCCUCCUCCCCUCCCACCACCCCUAGUUCGUUUCCCAGAGUUAGGAGUCUUUAUGUUCUGUCUCCCUUUCUGAUAUUUCCCACACAUUUCUUCUCCCUUCCCUUAUAUUCCCUUUCACUAUUAUUUAUAUUCCCCAAAUGAAUGAGAACAUACACUGUUUGUCCUUCUCCGAUUGACUUACUUCACUCAGCAUAAUACCCUCCAGUGCAGUUUUACCUUUAAAGUCCAAUUAUGUAUUGGAUACAUCCUAGAAUAGAGUAUUUGUGUCAAUUUCUGAGAUCUUUCAUAGGCCUUUUUAAUAUAUACAUUCAUGUUUUUUUAUUUCUGGUUAUCUUUUUUUUAUAUUCAAGUUUUAAAUAUUAGCUCUACAAUUUUAUGUGUGUUGGAUCCUCUUUCUCUUUCGUGUAUAUUAACAGUUUUUCCCUGAUUCUUAUUACAGUCUUCAUUUUGUUCUUUUGCUAUUUUCAUCCUUUCAUUCAGUGCCUCUUACUGUAUUUUCAUUCAAUUCAAUUUUCUCUUGAGUCAUUUAUAAUUUAUUCUUCAUUUCUAAAAUGGCUUUUGUCUCCUCAGUUUCUUUUAUUAGACCAGAUAUCUCUCAUUUCACAUCUUCUAAUGUGAAGAUUUAGAGCCCAUUUUUGUUCUGAAUUACUGAAUGUUUGAUUUGAGGGUCUUUCCCUCAAUACUUGUAAAUACCAUUUAACAAUAUAUAAUUCAGGCUGAGAUAGUAUUAUAGUUAUCUCUACCUUACAGUCUGUCUGUCUGCCUUCCUUCCCUUCUUCCUUGGAGAGUAGUGUUCAUUGGCUGAAGGGUUUUGGUCUUAUUUUCUGUUUCCUUUUAUAAACCUAUCUACAGUUGUUGCCAUAUCAGUUAUGAAAUUUAAUUUUUCUUGAGCAGCAAUAAUAGUUCAUAGUGAAAAUGGUUAAAGGGUUUACAAGAUUUCUUAGUUCAAAAGCUGUCCCUUCUGUUACUAUAAUGAAAUAUCUUGAAUCUGUGGUGCAUUGGUUUUGGAGAGUGACAGGGUUUGAAUCCUCUAAUUUUCUGCUUCUUUUUUAUACUUGUAGGACCAUUAUUGUUUUCUUCUUUCUCUCUACCACCAAACAUCCAAGAAGUACCACUUCUUUGUCUCCUCUAGAAGUGGUACUUCUCAAGACUGUCACUUCUGUUUCUUGUGAUUACAAACCUCUUCUUUUUGACUCCACAGUAACCAGUGCUGGAUCUAACAGAUUCUGA
rnacentral:lncRNA from 1 species